rnacentral:rRNA from 1 species
GGGGAAUUUUGGACAAUGGGGGCAACCCUGAUCCAGCCAUGCCGCGUGAGUGAAGAAGGCCUUCGGGUUGUAAAGCUCUUUCGGCCGGGAAGAAAUCGCAAAGGCUAAUAUCCUUUGUGGAUGACGGUACCGGAAUAAGAAGCACCGGCUAACUACGUGCCAGCAGCCGCGGUAAUACGUAGGGUGCGAGCGUUAAUCGGAAUUACUGGGCGUAAAGCGUGCGCAGGCGGUUUGGUAAGACAGGCGUGAAAUCCCCGGGCUCAACCUGGGAACUGCGCUUGUGACUGCCAAGCUAGAGUAUGGCAGAGGGGGGUGGAAUUCCACGUGUAGCAGUGAAAUGCGUAGAGAUGUGGAGGAACACCGAUGGCGAAGGCAGCCCCCUGGGCCAAUACUGACGCUCAUGCACGAAAGCGUGGGGAGCAAAC